rnacentral:lncRNA from 1 species
AUUAAAGAUGGCAGAGAAAUGAUGUUAGGGGAAGGCUAUUCAUCAAACUGAGGGGAAACUACCCACUCCUCUUCUUGGCUCUUCUACUUCUCAUCUGUACAAGCCUGGCCCCUAGGAAAUCAAUCUUCUUCAGCUCCCUAUUUCACAGAGGCAGUAGGAAGACUGAAUGGAAAAUGUAUGUGACCACUACAGUGCGGUUCUCUGUAAACGCACCUCCCUUCUGUAAUCCCAGGCCUUGCAUUUUCUAAAAUCUGGCUCCCUCAACUAGGCCUUUCUGUUCAGUAACUUCAGUAACUUAUUUCCCUAUUCAGCGCUAUUGGCUCAUUUUCUGCCUCUUACUUGGUUGCAAUCCAGAGCCCUAGAAAUGAGUCUUCCAUUUUUAUUUUAGUCAGCUCAGGCUACCAUAACAAGCUAUCACAGACUAGAUAAUGUAAACAAGGGACAUGCAUUUCUCACAGCUCUGGAGACUGGAAAUCCAAGGUCAAGGUACCGGCAGGGUUGGUCUCUGGUGAAGCCUCUCCCUCUGGCUUGCAGACAGCACCUUCUCAGUGUCCUCAUAUGAACUUUCCUCUGUGCUAGUUCAGGGGAGCAUGAGGGACUCCAGUGUCUCUUCUUCUUGUGAGAAGACCAGCCCUUUUGGAUUAGGGACUCCCCCUUAUAAUGUCAUUUAACCCUAAUUAUCCUUCUAAAGGCCCUGAUUCCAAAUGCAGUCACCUUGGUGAUAAGGCUUUCUACAUGUAAACUUUGCAGGUACACUUUUGCAUCCAUAAUGCUUAGUGUGCUCUUAUCUUCUCAUUACUGUACCAGCCAAACUAAUGAAGGAAUGGAUAUCUGCUAAUGAUUUUCAAACAGAGGUUGAAUCACUUGUAACACUUUUGUAAAUUACAGAAUCCAGGACCCAUUCCAGAUCUACUGAACUACAGAACUUGGGGGAUGGUGCCCCAGAAGCUAUGGGACCUGUGCAGCUGCUUCUGAUGCCCCAGCCUGGCUUCCUGCCUUCACCUCCCACCCCCACUCCUGCCUACCCACCUUCUCCCCACUCUCUGAUUUUCCUCCUUACUAAUCAACUGCAGCAGUUCUUUCAAAAACCACCCUAUGAUUUCAUGAUUGCAAAAUUGCGUGGUAUUUCUUCAAUCUCUGUUCCGUUUAAUGUGCCUGCAACGGUUGUACCCCAGGGUACCCAGAUUUCAUGAAAUUCUCUUUUUGUUCUCCAUGGCAUUGUGCCCACAUGAAUUACAUCUCUAACUCAAGUCUUUACCCCAUUCCCGAAAGGCACUGUCCUAAGCCAUUUUUUCCUUCCUUCUCCCAAAGCAUCUAAUUCAUUCCAAUAACCUCAAACACUGCUUUUUAUGAAAAUAAUCCUGAAAUCUUUAGAUCACUCUAUGAGCACCUUUUUUCAUUGAUCUUCUCCUCCAGAUACAUGUCUUCUCAGGACUGUCUCAUUUAUUCCUCAAACUCAACAUAUUCAUUUUUUUCAUCAAAUAUUAAGGAACAACCAUGUGCUAGGACCUGUUUCUGGGAACAGGGGCAAGAGCCAGACAUAGUGUCACCCUUCCAGAGUCUGCAGUUUCAUAAAGAAAUGUCAUCCAGCAACUGUAAUGCGUAACAUAAAAACUUUUAAAAAAAUAUCUCCAAUGCCAUGAGGUGGGAAGCUCAGGGUACUAAGAGGCAGAGCCAAGAGAGACCUGGCAAGCAGGUGAGGCUUCUGGAGAGACUAUUAUCUAUGUUCAGCCCUAAAACAUGAGUAAGAGUAAAUGAUGAAAAGAGGAAAGACAAGAAUAUAUCAUAGUAAUCAUUUAUCAAUUCUGGGUGAAUCAACACCGGCUUUCCUUUCUAUCAUCACCCCAACUGGCCUUACAAAGCUCCUUGGGUACAGGCUGAGGGGACACUCCCAGAAGCCUGGGGCACAAGCCUCCCAUUCUCCAGAAUAGCAGAACCAGGAGAAUGUGUGGGCACAUGAUUUAGGUACGAACAGUGAAAUGAUCUCUCCCAAGAGUUUGGAAUUUUGAGCUUUUGAGCAGAAUAAAGGACAAGUAUUUUCUUUUCAUAGGCCAAAAAAAAAAAACGUAGGCACCCAAAGAGGUAGAUUCUAAAGAGAACCACAGUGGAAAACAGGAGCAAGUGUGUCAAGGUGGGGAAUGUUAUAGUUAAGAUCUUUGGGUCUGAGGUGAUACAAACUUGACUUUGAGUCUCUGCACUUCUCGUGAACUUCAUGACCUUGGGCAAUUUCCUUGGUUUCCCAAAUUAUGAGAUAGAAUAACAAUCACAGUUUCAUCAUUGGGUUCCCUCAAGGGUUACACGAGCUGUCUCAUGUAGAAGGCUCAGCACAGUACCUGGCAUAGAUAGAUGAUGCUGGACCAAGCAGUUGGCAGGAUGAGUUCUGCAAAAGGUCAAGGAAGGCAAGGAGGGAGUGUGUCACCCAGAGUCACACAAUAGAGAAGGCCCUGGAGCCUGAAGAGAGCAGUUUACAGGAAGAAAGAAGGAUGGAAACAAAAUGCAAUGGGUGGGAAAGGAUGGCACAAGGAAAAACAGAGAUGAGUGAAGCUGAGUAUUUAAGCCUGUUAUAGGGAAGUAGAUUUAAUGAUUGAUCUCUGUGUGUAACACAAAGGUACCCAUGAAGUUCCCAUCUCCAAGAUGGGAGAUACAUGGCAUGCUUAAAAGCUAAUGGAAAGAGGGCUGGGGAUAUAGCUCAGUUGGUAGAGUACUUGACUUGCAUGCACAAGGCCCUGGCAGGGUUCAAUCCUCAGCACCACAAAAAAAAAAAAAAAAGAGAGAGAGACAACAUUGAGUGAAAAAUUAAGACAUAGAAAAUGGGGCACUGUAGUAAUCCCAGAGACUCAGAAUCCUGAGGCAGGAGGAUCGUAAGUUCAAAGCCAGCCUCAGCAAAAGUGGGGUGCUAAGCAACUCAGUGAGACCCUAUCUUUAAAUAAAAAGUAGGGCUAGGGAUGAGGCUCAGUGGUGGAGUGCCCUGAGUUCAAUUCCCAGUACCCACCUACCCCCAAAAAGAAAAGAAAAUGGUAUAAUCAAUUGUAUCCAUGGAUCUGAAAGUAUAAUCUGCACAUUUCUAGAGGUCUCUGAGAUCAAAACUAUUCUCACAGUCAUAAAAAGAUAUUAUUUGUCUUUUUUUUUCUGUAUGACAUUUUGUUGUCAUUGCAGAAACAAUGGUGUGUAAAACGGCUGGUGCUUUGGCACGAAUCAAGGCAGAGGCAGGAAAUCUACCCCCGUCAACACUUGCCAAGUAUCAAUGCCAGUUCCACUUAAGAAUGGCCUUCAUGAAGCACAAAAAGUAUGAAUUUUAUUAAAUCUCAACCCAUGAACCCACAUCUUUAAUACCCUAUGUGGAAAAAUCACAUAAAAUACUUCUUUUUCAAACCCAAAGUGAUGGUUUUGUUCACACCACAUUGUGAGCUGAGCCAAUCCCCUCUUUUGUGGAAUUCAAUUUUUACUUUAAAAAUUAGAUGAAGAACUAUGGCUAUUCAAAUUGAAUAUUUAAAAAGCAUUUUCUAGGAAAUGAACAAACCAAGCCUGUCAUUACCAAAAAAAAAAAAAAAACUGACAGAAUUUAUUUCCAAUAAUAAUAUUCAAGCUGGGAACCAUGACGCAUACCUGUGAUCCCACAAUUUAGGAGGCUAAGGCAGGAGGAUUACGAGUUGGAAAGAACUUAGUAAGACUUAGUGAGAUCCUGUCUCAAAAUAAAAAAUACAGUUGGUUGGGGAAUGUAGCUGAGUGGUAAAGAGGCCCUAGGUUCAAUCCCUAGUACCAAUAAUAAUAGUACUAAUGAUAACAAUAAAAAUAGUAAUAAUAAAACUUUCAAGCAAAAAGUAUGAUUUUGGAAACUUUGUAUCAACUCUCUCAAUGUUUUUAAAGACCUUUUUGAUGUGAUUAGUGGUGAUAUUAAUGAAUGUGAUAUUUUUAAUACUGUAAAAUAAAAUGUACCAAAAUUCAGGAAGAUAUGUGCAACUCAGUGACUCAACGUUUUCAAAUGACCAUGCAUAAUGUUAAAAAUCACAUCUUAUUAAAGCAUCAAAAUGCAAAACAAAUGAAUGGUUUUAAAGUCACAACGUAUGAAACAGGCAUCAAUGCAUCUUCAGAUCCAACAUUAUAGCUAGCAUUUAAGAAACUAUUGUUGAGUUUUGGUGUGAUAUCAAAGAAAAUAUCCACGAUUAUCUGAAUAGAUUAUUAAAAUAGUCCUCCCUAAAAAUGUCAGUGAGGCAGGAUUCUCUUUCCAUACUUCAACCAAAUAACCAUUUCCCAGUAGAUUCUAUGCAGAUGUAGAUAUGAAAAAUCC